CUCCCCGCGACAAGCAGGAUCUCCUCAGAGCCAGGGGGGCAGCAGCUGCUCAGCACAGCGCCCGAGCCCAUUCCCAGUCCCUCUGCUGGGGAGGAAACUCCGGUCUGUCAGCCCAACAGAGGGAAAGGGGGGAGAGCAGCGAGAGGAGAAAAAAAAAGCAGCUGGAAAGGAAAAGAAACGCCUGGUAGUUGUGCGGAGAGUCCCCCUGGAAAAGCAGCCUGCAGGCUUCACCCAGCACAGACAAUCUGCUUCAUCUUGAUUCGUCAUCAUUCCAGGAUACUGGUGUCUUUGGGGCUCUCUGUUAACAUUGAUAUGGUACAGAAGAUUUAAAAUCAGCUGAUGUUCACAAGGAAUAGAGUCACGUGAUGUAUGAAGGCAAACACAUACACUUCUCUGAGGUUGACAAUAAGCCCUUGUGCUCGUAUAGCCCCAAACUGUGCAAGCAGAGGCGACUUAACGGCUACGCCUUCUGUAUCAGACACGUUCUGGAGGACAAGACUGCCCCCUUCAAGCAAUGUGAAUAUGUGGCCAAGUACAACAGCCAACGCUGCACCAACCCCAUCCCCAAAUCUGAGGACCGUAGGUACUGCAACAGCCACCUGCAGGUACUUGGCUUCAUACCGAAAAAGGAGAGGAAGAAGAAGAAUGAUCCCAUAGAGGAGGUAAAGGUCAGGCAUCAGAUGGAUGCUAUGGCCUUCAGUCUGACAGUGCCCACCCUGGCCUUGAAGAUGCCCAAUGGACUGGAUGGGAUGUCCCUCUCCCCACCAGGGGCUAGGCUUCCUCUCCACUACCUGGAGGCAGAAUUAGAAGACCCCUUUGCUUUCAAUGAGGAGGAUGAUGACCUAAAGAAAGGGGCCACAGUGAGGAAAAAGUUGCAGAGCAAGUUGGCUCAAAACCGGCAGCGCCAGAGAGAGACAGAGAUUUUAAAAGUUCGCCAAGAGCACUUUAGCCCCCUUCCUGCACCUUUGCAGCAGCAGCCUCUGCAGCAGCAGCAGCACUCCCAUCUGCCACCUUCAUCAGCUUCGUUAAAGCCGACAGGGCUACCGCAGGGCGUCGUCUGCAAGUCACCUCAACCUCCGAACACCAGCCUACCAAUGCAGGGAGUGGCACCCACCACACACACUAUAGCACAAGCCAGGCAGUUGUCUAACAAGAGACCUCUGCCUCUCCUGCCACCCGCUAGGGCUCCUGUCACGGACCCUCCAAGGACUGAUCGGGUCCUAAUGAAAGCCACAGCCUUCUCUCCGCACUUGUCCUGCAUGAGCCGGCUACAGAGACUGGUGAAACUGUGCACUCGAAAACAGCAGCUGGACACUGAUCUGUUUCCCCAUUUAGGGCUGGACUGGUCUGAAGACAGUGGAGAAGAGUUGGAGGAUUCAGAGCAAACCUCCCCUUACCAGGUUGCGUGGUCUAUCCGAGAGACCCUCGGCUAUGAAAGACACGAGUCUGACGAUGACAAUGCAGAUGACAGGAGUUCCAGGGUGACCAGACUUUGCACUUACUUUCAGCAGAAAUACAAGCACCUCUGCCGCCUGGAGCGGGCAGAAUCUCGUCAGAAGAAAUGCCGGCACACGCUCCGGAAAGCUUUGCUGCAGGCGGCCAGCAGAGAGCCGGAACGUGCUGGGCAACUGAUACAAGAGCUCCGAAGAGCUACGUGUGGUCGUGCCAGCGCAAGCCAAGCCAAGCAGAGAGAUGUGGAACCAACAACAUGUAGUGGGACUUCGAAGGGUGAACAGUGCACUAACAAGGCCCUUCCAUUCACCAGGCAUUGUUUUCAGCAUAUCUUAUUGAACCGUUCUCAGCAGCUCUUCUCAAGUUGCACGGCCAAGUUUGCAGAUGGUCAGCAGUGCUCUGUGCCAGUUUUUGACAUCACACAUCAGACACCUCUGUGCGAAGAACAUGCCAAAAAAAUGGACAAUUUCUUGAGAGGGGACAGCUCCCGUAAAGUUCAGCACCAGCAGCAGAGGAAACCCAGGAAAAAAACAAAGCCGCCUGCACUUACCAAAAAACACAAGAAGAAGAGAAGGCGAGGCCCGCGCCGGCCCCAGAAACCCAUUCCUCCUGCAGUGCCCCAAGGGAACCUCACCAUGCCUGCCAGUGUCUCACUGCCAGUAGAGAUGUCCCACAUACGGAGCCCUUCCACACCAGAGUUGAGUGCCGAUGAGCUGCCUGAUGAUAUCGCCAAUGAAAUCACAGACAUUCCACAUGACUUGGAAUUGAAUCAGGAGGACUUCUCUGAUGUCCUGCCGCGACUGCCUGAUGACUUGCAGGAUUUUGAUUUCUUUGAAGGUAAAAAUGGAGAUCUCCUUCCUACUACAGAAGAGGCUGAAGAACUGGAACGGGCCCUACAGGCUGUAACUUCUCUUGAGUGCCUGAGUACCAUUGGCGUACUUACACAGACAGAUGGUGUGCCGGUUCAGGAGCUGUCAGAUAGAGGGAUAGGGGUGUUCUCUACAGGUGCUGGAGCUCCAGGAAUGCAGUCCUUGAGUCGAGAGGUUAACACGGAUCUGGGGGAGCUGUUGAAUGGGCGUAUAGUACAUGAUAAUUUCUCCGGUCUGGAGCUGGAUGAGAACUUGCUCCGUUCUGCUACCUUGUCCAACCCACCUACGCCCCUGGCAGGGCAGAUCCAGGGGCAAUUCUCAGCCCCAGCCAACGUCGGCCUUACUUCUGCCACUCUGAUAAGCCAGAGUGGCCUUGGGGAGAGAGCCUUCCCAGGACAGUUUCAUGGACUUCAUGAUGGCAGCCAUGCCUCCCAGAGGCCCCACCCUGCCCAGCUGCUGAGCAAGGCAGAUGACCUGAUCACCUCACGACAGCAAUACAGCAGUGACCAUUCACACUCCUCACCCCAUGGAAGCCAUUACGAUAGUGAGCAUGUGCCGUCUCCCUACAGUGACCAUAUCACAUCCCCUCACACCACAUCCUUUUCUGGUGAUAACUUGGCAGCUACCUUCUCAGCAGAGAUGCCCAUGAUGGCACAGCACUUGCUCCCAACUCAGCUGGAUGUGCCACUUAGUGGGGUGGUCAACCCCAGAACUCACUGGGGAAAUCUUCCUGUCAAUCUUGGGGACCCCUCUCCGUUUAGCAACCUUCUCGGUGCAGAUGGACACCUCCUGUCCACCUCCCUGUCCACACCACCUACCACCUCGCACUCAGAGACCACACAGCCUGCCUUCGCCACUGUGACCCCCAACAGCUCCAGUGUGCUUCCGGGGUUACCGCAGACCAGUUUUAGUGGCAUGGGUCCUGCCUCUGCUGAACUGAUGGCCUCCACCUCCCCUAAACAACAGCUCCCUCAGUUCAGCGCAGCCUUUGGGCACCAGCUGAGCUCCCACAGUGGCAUCCCCAAGGACCUGCAGCCCAGCCACAGCUCCAUAGCUCCUCCCACGGGCUUCGCAGUGACCGGUGCCACCGCUACCAGUACCAAUAACGCAUCCGCACCCUUCACCACCUCCAACUGAGCUUGUCUGCCUGGCUCUGUGCAGGUAGAUGGGGGACCUAUGUUUUCUAUCUUUCCUUUUUUCCUUUUUCUUCUUUUUUUCCUGUCCUCCUCUCCCCCUCCCCCCCCCCCUUUUUUUAAGAGGGGGUUGAGAAGAAAACCCCUGCUUCAGUACUGACCAGGGUUAGCCCUCUGUGAACCUUGCUAUAGCGUUCACAUGUGCUUGUUAUGCACCGGUGCUCAUUUAUUGCAGGCAGGUUCACCGUUCCCCAGUGAUUCCUUAAGGAUACAGCACAGUUACUGGAUGUAAUUGAUCUUAGCAGUAAGACCUAAAAAUGGGAAGAUACCUCAGAUUACUGAUGCAUGUUACUGUUUCCUAGGGUUCGGAUCAGUGCUUGCCAUCCCAUUAGCAUCUGGUAGGAAGUUUUCCAGUGGGCAGAAGUCUCCUGAUUUUUUUUUUUAACUCUUUUCCAAAGGUAGCAUCUGGCAUGGAAAACUUGGCUGCACACAUUGAUUUGAGAAUGGUGCAUUGAAGUCCUAAAUCAAGACUAUGGUUCAAAGAUGAAUUUUGACAGUUUCUUAAAACAGUCUCUUGACCUCCUAUACUUCUCCAAUGUAAGUAAUGCCAACCAGUAAUUCUUCUGUGGCUUGGUCCUGAGCGAAUCUGACUGUAAAACGAAAAGGAGGAGAGAUUGCUGCAAUUCAUAACAUACAUUUUGGAUGCUAGAGCGACAGUGCAAUAGAUCAAAGUGUUUCUCAGCUCAGUGAGUAAGAUGAUGUUUCAAAGCACGCUGAUACGUCGUGACCUAGCUGCUGAGGGUACAACACUGAUCCUGGGAGUGCACGCAUUAGCAGUGAAUGUUGCAGGCGUUCUGAGUGGGAAUUUACCCACCUUCUCACAGGUUCCUCUCGUUUUGAGAAGUACAUCAGCAGAAAAUCACCUAGAAAGCUUUAAAAUAUUUCCCUUACUUAAAUUCUUUUUUUAAAUACCUGCGUGAAGAUGCCCAACUAAAAGUAAGGGUGACUGGUGGAAAGAUGUAAACUUAUAUUUAAUGAAUUUAAACCUGGACUUUUGGAGAGGUCUGCUCUUGAGACACCUUAACUCUAUCGGAUUGGUUUUGAUUUGUUUUUUGAUUCGGUCUUUAAAAUUAGACAAAAACACUGUUGCUGAGAAAGAAGAGUUUGUGAGAGAAGGAAGAACUGACAAAAGAAAAGCAAAUGUGUCUUGGAACCAUUUUCUCACUCAUGUCUUCAGCCGUUUAGGCAAAAGUAGUGACUGGGCUUGGGGAGAUUCUUUUCCCUUCCCUUGCCCCGUGGGUGCUGGGUUCUGUGCUUUCCCCUGUUUUGCUCUGCUUUUGCAUUCUCAUUUUCUGGCUCUUGUGGAAUAAGGCAAGAUGGUGGAAGCAUGACGGAAGAAAAUGGGCUUGCCUACAGAUUAGUAACAGUAGUUGGAGAAGGCUUUCUUUUUCUGGCUCCUUGAAGUGUUGGUGUUACGUUUAGCCUUCCCUGGCUCGUAGAAUCCAGUUGAGAAGUGAACAAGAUGAAAUCUAGGCUUUUGACAUUACAACUGUAUAUACACAGUGUAGAAAAAUGCAUUAUUCGUACUCGUCCUCCUUGCCAGCCCCCCAAACACACGCACAGUGAGACGGCGACAGAGUACGCGUGUAUGAGCUGCACGCACGUGCUGAACUUGGUCCAGCAGUGCUAAUGUUUUACCCACUUUGUGUCUUCAUAAGCUGGUGGCCACUGAAGCGGGCUCUGGGUAGGUAAUGUUCUCAGAUAUCCUCUGGAAAACUUUAACUUUGGUGCAGAUUGCGCUAAUGUAGCUAACUGCUAUGCCAUUUGCUUCUACUUUGGAGUGGACUGAUUUACCCUGAAAUGACUCUCUAACCUGCGUCUUAAACAGCAUAGGUGGUUCCAGUGAAAACAGCUUCGUUCUGAAGGGAUGGACAGUUGGAUUCUCAUGCAAAAUAUCUACAUCCUGCUAGAAGGGGUUGAACCAGUUUCUCUGAACAGUGAUUACUUUCACUGUACAGUUUUGGGUAUGUCUCAGGGAUUCCUUGUGGAAAUAAGGGCAGUUAACAAAAAAAAAAAAAAAAGUAAAUAGUUUUAAAAGUAAAUAAUAAUUUAAGGUAGAGCGUCAUCUAAGUGAGAGCGCAAGAAAGAGAAAUCUUUGUUCAGUUUUAUAGUCCACAGUGUCUGGCUUAGGGACUCUUUCUCUUCUCGGGGCUCUCGUCUCAAGUUCAACAUACAGAAUCUUUUUUCAUCACGCUCAGCUUUAAACUUUUAUUUAAAGAUACCCUUCCCCAAUGAGCUUUCAGAAUACUUAUUGUAGAUUUAAAGAGAAAUGGUAUAUUAAUUUAUGCUAUUAACAUCACCUCAUAAAUUAUAAGUUUUAUACUAAAGCUGUAUUGAGUGUAAUGAAUUAUGUUGCAUAUGUGUUUUUAAUAGCUAUAAAAUUAUAUACAAGCUUUUUUGGAAAAACAAACUAGUGAAGCACCUUUUUACACUGGAUCUUUGCCGUGUCAAGGUGUACAGCUAUUCUUUGCUACCUUGCAGAUAUCUAUAUCUAUAUCUCUAUAUAGAUAUAUAUAUAUAUAAAUAAAAUAAAAUGGUAUCCUGUAUCAACAAAGCAUAGAACUCUUUUUAACCCUUAUAUUGCUGUUCCUAUAACUCUUUUAAUUUUAUUUUGAGUGUUACAUUCUGCAAUAAUUUAUCUGUGGUUUGUACCUAUGAUUAGAAAUUUAGUUACAGGAUAAAUAGAUCAAAUUAAAAAUCCAACUACUGUAGCUGGAAGUUGUGAACCAAGUUUGUAAGACCUUUUCUUUUUAAAAUGUAUUUAUUUCCAGUUAGCUCUGUGAGUUGGAAUUUGAAAAGUCAGAACAUUAGGAAUCUACAGUGUCUUAUUCAGGAAUUUUUCCCCUCCUUUCCUCACAAAGGAAUUCCCACUGUGACUUAUAAAUAGAAUUAGACUGCUUGUGUGCAUGUAUGUAUUAUAUAUACACACAAAAAAUAUGCAUUGGGGGGGAUGUAUGUGCGAUACGAAUGUGUAUAUUGUAUGUAGGUCAUAGCUUUGUAAAGAGAAAAGUAGUUGAGAGGUGAUGGAAUGUAUUGUAGAAAUGUGAUUAUUUAGUAGGGGGUUAUUAUGUCCUCACUGUUGUAUAAAUAACUCAAACUCUCUACUACAUAAUCUGCUGUUAUAAGGCUAACUCUGAUAUCAUGUCAAUUUUACUUUUUUUUUUUUUCAAAUGAGUUGCAUUGAGCCCUGUUUAAAAUGUCAUGAAAAUACCAAGCUCCCAAAGACAGCCUUUAAAAUAAAAUAAACAGGAGACCGGGGGAGAUGGGAGAAAUGAGUGUGUUUCUCAGGAGAAAUUGAAAUGGGAAGGUCUGUAUUUGGUGGAAUGGUGAGACAUGGGAAUUACUGUAUCUCUGCAAAUUAAUACCUGAAUCUCCUUUGGUCUGAUUUAGAAAAUGCUGAUAAUCAGUUGUAUUUGUGUUCUCAAAUUAGGCUGUAAGAGGCAUUGUUUAUGAACUGAUCUCCAUUCUGUAAAAGGAUAUUGUUUUCAGAGUAAUUCUUUUCUUUUCUGAGGAUUUUUAUGUGUGUAUUAAUUUUGCCCUCAAAUUGCUUUUGUCUGAUUACAGAACUAUAUAUUUUUUUUGAUCGAGGGAGUUAAAUUUGUGCUGUGAAAUUCUGAAUUGAAUUAUGGCCACUUAAUUUUUCUCAUAAUCAGAGAAGGAAGCUCUUUCUUUUUGGGAGUUCUCACUGGAAAUUGUGAGAAAUUGGAAACGUUCUUACAGAUUCGCUUACUCUUAUUAUUCAUCUGUCUCGACAUUUAGGCUGGAGAAAAUAAAAUUUUAAAUGUUACGUAUUCAUACCAUUAUCACUUUUAAUCAUGAUGAUCCUGGUGACUUUAAGAUCUGUUUAGAAAAACAGAGCUUCCAGUAUUGCACAGAUAUUUUAAUUUUUUGAAGGCUUUUUUUUAAGCAGUUGCAAAUCAAUUCUUUAUUUUUUAUUUUUUUUAAGUUUUACAUCCCUCUCCCUCUCAGUCUGUUGACACCCCCCAGACAUACCUCCACAUAAAUCCUCUCUUGCACAUACGCAUACAAGCGAAGGGCAGGGAGGUGGAAGUUGUCAGAGGCCUUUCCUUCUUAUUUGGUGGUAAUGGGAUUUAUCAGUGUAAUUCUUUAUGCCUUUAUGGGGAAGAAUAGACCCGUUUCUGUGUAUACCUGUACAGAGAGAUAUAUCUGUAUAUGAGAUGUUGGUAGCACUUUGCUGAAUGUGGAAUUGCCCUCAUGAUGUACAAUAAAUACGUAUGAAUGCAAUCAAUCUAAA